AAAUUUCAUUUUUUUUUUUUUGACAAUGCAAAACAAUAUCACAAUUUUAUUUAAUACAUCUAAAAACACCAAUUCAUAGAUGGUUUUAGAUUUCUAAAACCUUAAAUUUACUCUUUCACUAUUAUUAGUCCUUGAAUCAAAUAUUAUUAUUCUUAUGCAAGUUUUGAAUAACGCUUUAUAUUAUCGAUAGUAUUAAGCGUUUGGUACUACCGAGUUUUCGAACAUUAGAUGAAAGAAUGUGCAGUUAAAAUAAUAAUAGUCUUUUAGAAUUGAGUAAGUGUUUGGUACAUAGUAUAAUAAGUAGGUGAAAAUAAUCAAAGAUAGAUCUAACGAUAAAAAUAGUAACAAGAGCUUGAUACUAUCGGUAAUAUAGUA
rnacentral:lncRNA from 1 species